UACGUAGGUGGCAAGCGUUGUCCGGAGUUACUGGGUGUAAAGGGCGUGUAGGCGGGAAAAUAAGUCAGAUGUGGAAUUCCAUGGCUCAACUGUGGCGCUGCAUCUGAAACUAUUUUUCUUGAGUGAUGGAGAGGAAAGCGGAAUUCCUAGUGUAGCGGUGAAAUGCGUAGAUAUUAGGAGGAACACCAGUGGCGAAGGCGGCUUUCUGGACAUUAACUGACGCUGAGGCGCGAAAGCCAGGGGAGCAAACGGG
rnacentral:rRNA from 1 species